rnacentral:rRNA from 1 species
UCGAAAACAAAUAUUAAAGGCACGCCCUGCCCCAGGUGGACAAUUUAACGGCCGCGGUACCCUAACCGUGCAAAGGUAGCACAAUCAUUUGUCUAUUAAUUGUAGACCUGUAUGAAAGGCUAAACGAGGGCCUAUCUGUCUCUUGUAGUAAAUCAAUUAAACUGAUCUCCCAGUCCAAAAGCUGAGAUACCAACAUAAGACCAGAAGACCCUGUGAAGCUUAAACUAAACUAUUAAAUCUCAUAAUAGCUCCUUUCGGUUGGGGCGACCUUGGAAAAAAAAAGAACUUCCAAACACACUGACUUUAGUCAUCCCAGGCCAACAAGCCUAACAACGACCCAGCACAGCUGACAAUUGAACCAAGUUACUCCAGGGAUAACAGCGCUAUCUUCUUCAAGAGCCCAUAUCAAAAAGAAGGUUUACGACCUCGAUGUUGGAUCAGGACAUCCUAAUGGUGCAUGCCGCUAUUAAGGGUUCGUUUGUUCAACGAUUAACAGUCCCACGUGAUCUGAGUUCAGACCGGACGUUUGUUCCAGGAUUAACCCUACGUGAUCUGAGUUCAGA